rnacentral:rRNA from 1 species
GACGUAGGGCGCGAGCGUUGGUCCGGAUUUAUUGGGCGUAAAGAGCUGCGUAAGGCGGCUUGUUGCGUCGACCGUGAAAACCCGGGGCUCAACUUCGGGCUUGCGGUCGAUACGGGCGGGCUAGAGUUCGGUAGGGGAGACUGGAAUUCCUGGUGGUAGCGGUGAAAUGCGCAGAGUAUCGAGGAGGAACACCGGUGGCGAAGGCGGUUCUCUGG